rnacentral:rRNA from 1 species
UACGGGGGGGGCAAGCGUUGUUCGGAAUUACUGGGCGUAAAGGGCUCGUAGGUGGCCAACUAAGUCAGACGUGAAAUCCCUCGGCUUAACCGGGGAACUGCGUCUGAUACUGGAUGGCUUGAGUUUGGGAGAGGGACGCGGAAUUCCAGGUGUAGCGGUGAAAUGCGUAGAUAUCUGGAGGAACACCGGUGGCGAAGGCGGCUUUCUGGACAGAAACUGACGCUGAUGCGCGAAAGCUAGGGGAGCAAACAGG